rnacentral:rRNA from 1 species
AGGAUGAACGCUGGCGGCGUGCCUAACACAUGCAAGUCGAGCGCGUCUGAUUUGAUGCUUGCAUUAAUGAAAGAUGAGCGGCGGACGGGUGAGUAACGCGUGGGUAACCUGCCCUAUACACAUGGAUAACAUACUGAAAAGUUUACUAAUACAUGAUAAUAUAUAUUUACGGCAUCGUAGAUAUAUCAAAGUGUUAGCGGUAUAGGAUGGACCCGCGUCUGAUUAGCUAGUUGGUGAGAUAACUGCCCACCAAGGCGACGAUCAGUAGCCGACCUGAGAGGGUGAUCGGCCACAUUGGAACUGAGACACGGUCCAAACUCCUACGGGAGGCAGCAGUGGGGAAUAUUGCACAAUGGGCGCAAGCCUGAUGCAGCAACGCCGCGUGAACGAUGAAGGUCUUCGGAUCGUAAAGUUCUGUUGCAGGGGAAGAUAAUGACGGUACCCUGUGAGGAAGCCCCGGCUAACUACGUGCCAGCAGCCGCGGUAAUACGUAGGGGGCUAGCGUUAUCCGGAUUUACUGGGCGUAAAGGGUGCGUAGGUGGUCUUUCAAGUCGGUGGUUAAAGGCUACGGCUCAACCGUAGUUAGCCUCCGAAACUGGAAGACUUGAGUGCAGGAGAGGAAAGUGGAAUUCCCAGUGUAGCGGUGAAAUGCGUAGAUAUUGGGAGGAACACCAGUAGCGAAGGCGGCUUUCUGGACUGCAACUGACACUGAGGCACGAAAGCGUGGGUAGCAAACAGGAUUAGAUACCCUGGUAGUCCACGCUGUAAACGAUGAGUACUAGGUGUCGGGGGUUACCCCCCUCGGUGCCGCAGCUAACGCAUUAAGUACUCCGCCUGGGGAGUACGCACGCAAGUGUG